rnacentral:rRNA from 1 species
GAUGAACGCUGGCGGCAUGCCUAACACAUGCAAGUCGAUCGGUAAGGCUCUUCGGAGUACACGAGAGGCGGACGGCUGAGUAACGCGUAGGAACACACCCUGCAGUGAGGGAUAAGACACCGAAAGGUGUUCUAAUACCGCAUACGGUCUUCGGAUUAAAGCAUUUAUGCGCUGAAGGAGUGGCCUGCGUCAUAUUAGAUAGUUGGUGAGGUAAUGGCUCACCAAGCCGAUGAUGUGUAGCUGGUCUGAGAGGAUGAUCAGCCAGACUGGAACUGAGACACGGUCCAGACUCCUACGGGAGGCAGCAGUGAGGAAUAUUUCACAAUGAGCGAAAGCUUGAUGGAGCAAUGCCGCGUGCAGGAUGAAGGCCCUCGGGUUGUAAACUGCUUUUAUAAGAGAAGAUUAUGACGGUAACUUAUGAAUAAGGGACGGCUAACUACGUG